CCUCUGAACUUGGAGGGAGAAGUGAGCCAACCCUGCCACCUUGGACAGUGACCAGACUGCUACUAAUCGCUGUGAUCAAUUCUUCAGGCAGUUGGAUGUGUAAGGAUGGUCAGAAUGGCUAAGAGAACAGACCUCCGGAUCCACGUCCGCUUGGUUACAGAUUCAUAACCAGAGAAGAAUGCCAAAGAAACAAAUAAGCAGUUGUGACCAAAAUAAAAAAGUGAGAAGAUACUGCCUUUUUCCAACUAAUGCCAGCUGUAGUCCGUUCUGGAAGGUAGAUAUUAAAGAAGGCAGCAAGCCCAGUGGAUGGAUGCUACCUACAUAGCCUGUGUUCCCCAGGACUUCCCUGGUGGCGCAGUGGUUGAGAAUCUGCCCGCCAAUGCAGGGGACAGG